rnacentral:rRNA from 1 species
GACGAAGGGGGCUAGCGUUGUUCGGAAUUACUGGGCGUAAAGCGCGUGUUAGGCGGUUGUUCAAGUCAGGUGUGAAAGCCUUGAGCUCAACUCAAGAAAUGCACUUGAUACUGGAUGACUGAGGAGCCGGAGAGGAUAGUGGAAUUCCCAGUGUAGUGGUGAAAUACGUAGAGAUUGGGGAAGAACACCAGUGGCGAAGGCGGCUAUCUGGGACGGUUUCUGACG